rnacentral:piRNA from 4 species
UCAGACAUUUGGUGUAUGUGCUUGG